AUGAGGCUUAAAUAGGUGUCAAGGAGCAUACGGAACUAAGCAGUCCUAGACAGGGAGUUCUUUAUCUCCAUCUCCUGUUCUCUCAGUUUGUCUCCCCAUGUUUACCCUUCCUACAGGAGACAGCUUUCUCCUCUGCUUGUCCUCAGAAACUCAGCCUUUUCUUCUAGUUUAAGAUCCUUGAGGGGAGUUCUGGAUUCUUGGGGUCCAUUGUUUCUGUAGUCUGACAGUCAAUGUGAUGGCCCCAAGUGUCCCUUUAGAAUGUCCCCAUUCUUCUCGGGGAGGUUACAUUCUCCAUUGUGUCUCAUCUCUGUCCCCGACUAAGCCUGACAUCCCUAUGUAGGAAUGAGUUCCACAUCAGCUGGUCAGGGUGACACUGGCUGGGAGAGGGCGAGGGAGGGCCACAGCUUGCCUGCUAUCUGCCACAAUGGCACUUCACAUUCCACCAAAGCUCCUCACAGUUUAGACCAGUGCCCUCAACCACCCUGACGCUGCCACCCUUUAACACAGUUCCUCAUAUGGUGGUGACCCCCGCCCCCCCAGCCAUAAAAGUAUUUUCGUUGCAACCUCAUAACUGUAAUUUUGCUAUUGUUACGAAUUGUAAUGUAAACGUAUUUUUGAGGAAGAGGUUUUAACAAAGAGGUCGAAAGCAUGAUGUCCCCUGCUUGGAGUGGAGCCAGUGAUUCCUGGAGCAGAGGCCUCCUAGUAGUGGAUCCGAGCUUCAUGUUCUCCCAGUUUCCCCAGCCCUGACCACAACAGGUUCAUACAUGACUCAGUCUCUGCCUCGCUGUCUGUGGCUGGGCUUCCCCUUGCGCUGUUUAGUAAACUGUUCCUCCUUUAAAAUGGGACAAAGUUUCCCUUUUUUAAUUUCCUCUAGCAAAGGCGGCAGCACAUCAGGUCUUACCCAAGAAGAAGGCUUUUUUCUUCACCCCACGCCUAAGCAGCAGAAGGUAGAUCCUAUGCCUUCCUGAAACCCCUGGACUUGGGACACAUCUGUGUGAUAGAAAGAAUGAUUUCUAAGUUGCAUACUAAUGUGUGAGUCACAACGGGACUACUUCUAUCAAAAUCCUAGGCUGAGUGCUUGAGAAAGAAGAGAAACAAUAAGCUGUUUGAUCUGAAGGCCAGGCACAGUACCAAAGCCUCCUCCCCACACCCUAACCCAUGGUCCGCAGUGCUCAGCUGACUCGGGUCACUGCGGGGGAGUGCAGAGACGGGAACACAAGUUCCAAGGUCUUCCAGGAGAAGAGCCCCAGGAGGCAGGGCUGAGUACAGGUUUGAAGGAAGAGUGGGAGACUGGAAUCUUUCCCCAAGGGAGUUGGGGGAAAGCCAUGAAGGACAGGAUAAAGCAGUGGCUAGAGGCAGCCCUAAGCAAACUUCCUUUCCUCCCUGUGGUGCUCAGGGGUACCUAGCUGGCUGGUGCCAUUUCCUAAGAGCAGCAACAGGAACUGUGUCCAGGGCUCAACCUGGAGCCAAGACUGCUCAUGUAGGCAUUCUGCCCUGUUGGCCUAUCCACAUCCCCUGCUGCUGAGGCUUAUGGGAAGUCCUCGAGUCAGCGCUUUAUAGUCUGCAGUUGUCCAGGUCUGAGUUUAAGUCCUGGUCUCAGACACUCUCAUGGCUAAUUGGGCAGCACGGAGAAGAGCAAGCUAAGGUCCUGAGGCCCAGGGCUGCGGCUGACUCUGACCAGAGAUUUUAGGAGCUGGGUAUUGUGCAAGGUGCCCUUUAAAGCCCCUGUAAGCAAGUGCUGGUGACUCUGUGGAGUCCUACAUGCACAUUUAAACUUCAGCAAAGUUAAGCUACUCCAAGGAAGGUGACUAAAUGAUCAGGCUCGGUGUGGACCAGAUAUGCCGCUCUGUAACUACAGCGCCAUUGCUUGCUAGUUGUCUAGUCCUAAGCCUCCUUGAAUUUCUUGUUAAAAAGAAACCCAGCUGGGAAGAAGGGCGCCCUGGCAAUAAUAGUAUCCCAGCUUUUAGGAAUACUGCUCAGUAGCUUCUUUCCUGUAAAGGUAUGGCUCAUGGAAGGGCCCCAUGUAAGCCAGUCUGUUAUGAUUGAAAAUAAACUUUAUGGUGAAAGUCUCUUAAAAAGUCAUCCGUCCUAGGACUUGAUCUAAAGGGGAUGUAGAGUCUGGAUUGUCAAGUUGUCAUUCUGAAUGUCUAAAUCUCCUACCUAUUUGUGAGUAGAAUGAACUGUCUUCCGUAAACCCUAUCACUUAGGAUCAGGCUACCACGAUCUGGGGGUGAUGAUCAGGAAGCUAGUUCUGCAGCCUGUAUUCUGUGCACACAGGCCAAAGCAGGCCUUUCCCCCACCACGAGGUACGCCCCGGUAUAGCUGGGUGGAGCAGUGUGCUAAAUGAGGGCUAAUAACAUCUCAUUCGAGCAGCCUGGUGGCACUGGAUCCAUUCAGGCAAACACAUCUGACAGGUCGAGAUAGAAGACCCUCUGUGAAGGAUAGCAGGAGGUUUAUGUUGGUGACAUCUUUGUUUGCAGGCCAGUGUUUGCAUUAAACAGGAUUUUGGUUUGCUUGCACAAGAGCUCCAGUUCCAUAAGUAAUAGCAGGCUUCUGGCCUCGUCGUCGCUUUGACAGUCAGAGGCUGCAGUGAAUAGGUCACUUCCAGGUGUCAGCCGUUGCUUCAGGUCCCCUGAGGUCUGUCCUGAUGUGUGUAGGUUCUGAGCCUCUGUUUGAAGCCAUGGCAUGGGUCUUCAAGCACUUUGCUCUCAUCAGUGACUCUGACGGACAGGGCCUUUUUGACUCAUCUUUGUUCAAAGUUUUCAAGGCUCAUCUUCUGUGUUAUUCAUUACAGAAGAUACUUAGGGGACUUCCCCACCAGGAUCCGGAGAGAGCUACCAUUUCCUACCCUAGACCAUGUUUCCAAUUGCAGACUUGAGAAAACUCAGCAAAAGCUUUCCAUAGAAUAAGAACACUGCAUUAUAGCUAAAAGAAGCCCAAGGAAAGAGCAUCCUGAGACAUUUCCUUGCCAAAGAUCCAGGAUCACCUGAGAGCUAGGGUCCAUCAGCAGUUUUGUUCUGAACACUGAUGGGUGCUGGGCCCUUUCUCAUUUAAUUCUCAAAACAACUCUGUAAUUCUGGUCAUAGAAUUCUUGCUUUAUAAGCAAAUAAGUUGAGGCCCAGAAAAGUGACCUUGGUUGCCCUGGGCAACAGGGCGAUGAAUGGCGCUGGCCUUCACACUGAGGCUCUGUGGCUUUGUUCAUGUCAUUUCCUGGAACCUUAUCAACUCUUGCUUCUUUGAGUAAGAAGGAAACAAAGAAAUGCUCUGAUUGCUCUGAGAAAGUGAAGUUGUGAACAGAUUGGAUUUGGGGCUGGGGGUUUGGGUUCCAUGUUCACACUGGAAGUCACAGGGUUUGAUGCUCUGUCCCUAGCUAGUGGAAUUAUCUGGGAAGGAUUAGGAGGUCUUGUUGGAGAAAGUAUGUCACUGGGGGUGGGCUUUGAUAAUUCACAGACCCUUUCCAGGGUCAGUCUCUCUCUCUCUCUCUCUCUCUCUCUCUCUCUCUCUCCAUGCUGCCUGUGGAUCAGAUGUCAUCUCUUAGUCACUGUUUCAGUGCCACACCUCCCGGCUUGCUGCCAUGCUCGCCACCAUGAUGAAUGUGGACUAACCCUCUGAAACUGUAAGCAGGCCCCCAGUUAAAUGCUUUCUUUUAUAAGUUGCCUUGCGGGCUGGUGAGAUGGCUCAGUGGUAAGAGCACCCGACUGCUCUUCCGAAGGUCCAGAGUUCAAAUCCCAGCAACCACAUGGUGGCUCACAACCAUCUGUAAUGAGAUCUGACGCCCUCUUGUGGUGUGUCUGAAGACAACUACAGUGUACUUACAUGUAAUAAAUAAAUAAAUAAAUAAAUCU
rnacentral:lncRNA from 1 species